UACGUAGGGGGCAAGCGUUGUCCGGAAUCAUUGGGCGUAAAGCGCGUGUAGGCGGCUCGAUAAGUCUGCUGUGAAAGUCCAGGGCUCAACCCUGGGAUGCCGGUGGAUACUGUCGAGCUCGAGUCCGGAAGAGGAGUGUGGAAUUCCUGGUGUAGCGGUGAAAUGCGCAGAUAUCGGGAAGAACACCCGUGGCGAAGGCGGCUCUCUGGGACGGUACUGACGCUGAGACGCGAAAGCGUGGGGAGCGAACAGG
rnacentral:rRNA from 1 species